CGUACAUAAGUUCCGAAAAACUCACUGGUACGAGCCGGGGUUUGAACCCGCGACCUCCAGAUUGAAAGUCGCACGCUCUUACCGCUAGGCCACGAGCGCUUUAUCCCGUAACCUACAAUUGUAUUUUAUUGUAUUGUAUACAUUAAAUUCAGGUGAUAAAUUAAAUUAAAAUAAUCAUUUAAUUCAGGCAUAACCUAUAUAAGUGUUAGUAACAAAAUUUACAUUUACACACUAAUGUUAUAAUUUCACAAAAUCUACCAAAUUCAAAACAGUAUUAGGGUACAAUACAAUAAUUGAUGAGCCACACACUUUGAUAAAAAAAAAAUAAUAGUGUAUUUUGACUAGCAUCACGAGUUGUAAAUUAAUUAAAACAUAAAAACAUGUCAUUAAAAAAUAAUCCAUAAACGUCAGCAAUAAAUAUACUUACAUAUGUAUAAAACUUAUAAAAUUACAAUUAUUAUAUUAUUUAAUAAAAUAGGACAAUCAUUAAUUAAUAAUAAGUUUAAUUGCUUUAUUUUUGUGAUUAUGGAGCUCGGAACAAUUUGGAUUUAGAACUGGUUUUGACACGACCUUGAAGAUCGCCAACGUUGAUUGGUGCAUUUGAAAUGAACCGAAAGUCGUUCGUGAGAUGCGCGCUAAUCACAAAGACGAUCGCCCAACUAGGAAACAAAUCAGGUUUUUUAAAGUAGUCAGUGUACGAGUAUUCCCAUCCCCGCCGGGCACAGAUGGGAAUAGGCGCUAUAUACAAAUCAUUCCCAUCUGUGCCCGCCUCUUGUAUGGCGGUGGUUACGUGGGGCGGGCACAGAUGAGAAUACACCAAGUAGCCACACUACUAUGUUGAAAUUAUUCAUGGAACAUUAAAGUAUUUUUGAUAUUCCACCGACACCUGUAAAAAUUGAAUGUCCAAUUCGUCCUUUGUGUUUUCUAUGUAUUUAAUGAAAGCUACUGCAUUUGGUUUCACUAUCAAUUAACCAAUUAAAACUAUGGUUUUUUGCCCAAGUCAUGGAUGUAUGGCGCAAUUAAGUUUCAAACUAACAAAUAUCAAUGAAAAAUUAAACUUAAGCAGCUCUUUGGCUCUUGUUUAUGGCUAAAUGUUGCUAGCGUUUAAAAAUUGAUGGUAAAUACUUGUUUUACAGGAUUUGUCUAUACCAUCCCAUUACUGGUGUCUGUUCCAUUAUAGGGGUGUUUACUAGUGUAUAUACGAUACGAUAUACGAUCGUCACAGUUGUAUCAAAACAUCAAAUGUUUAAAUCUAAAUCGAGCUCCAUGGUACAGCAUGGCACUUCGAAUGUAAAGAGCCAAUUAUUUCCUAAUGUCAUGGAAUGGACUGUCAUGAACUUUGAAAUAGCCAUUAACCGUUUUAAAAGAAUUCAUUUGUCAAACAAACGGGAUUAAUAUUUAUUACGGUAAAAGCUGGUAACAGCGCUAACGCAAGAUUACUGUAAGAUUAAUCAACUUAUAAUUAUUUAUUAAAACACUCUUGACAAGUUACGAGUAUUCGCAUAAAGCUACAAGUCAAUCUCGUGUUUAUGGCAAGCGACAAAGUGUGACGUUUUGCCGGCCGCGGUCGCAAUAUUUAUACUAUAAUAUUUCUACUGUUUUUGUUAGUAUUGAACUCUAAGAACAUUUUCAUGGUAACUACUGGGAAUAAAAUUCCAGUAGUUACCACUGGUAACAACUUAGUGGUAACUAGUGGGAAUAACCUAAAUAUACAGAGUGAUGUCAGUGAUUACUAUUACGCUGCACAAAUUUCUUCAAUGAUGUAUAAUAACUAAGUAGUAGGCGUUAUCAUGAAGCCUUCGACCAUGAAUAUUCAGAGUAAAGUUAAAAUUUCUGGACGCAACGGCCACGUUCCCGCGAACAGAACUGUCAACUUCAUUGUGUUUAUUCAUGUAAGCCGACGACCAUUAGGGCAUAAUAAAAUAAAACGUUUUUAACUGAAAAUAACAGUUAACAUUUUAUAAGAAUAUGAAAAAAUAAAGAAAAUAGUGUUAACAGUGACGAAUUGCAAAAUUGGAGGGAAAAAACCACAAGAUCGGAGAAGAAAAUGCAACUUUCGCGUUCAAGGUCAAUUGCGGCGUCCUUUCGUCGAUAGCAUAGCUACACGGACGUGAUAAAUAUCGAGAUAAAAAUGUAGCAGGCCAUGGAUGUACCUACAUUAAUAGUGCCAGCGAACGAAUGUUUAAUGCAUACAUAACUAAAAUUCCGAAAAGGAACAUAAACGUCGGCAAGUGAAGAAUGAAGCGAGUUAAUUUUGACCUUGUUGGAAGGAGGCACCGCACCAGAAGGUUAAAUAUGGGAAUAAUCCUUCUAGGACAAUCUUGUUGUUUGCUUGCAGAUAUAUAAUUACGAACAUUACAAAACAACAAUGACCCGGACAAGAUUAUGAAAAAAUACUCUGCCUUGUUAAAUUACUAGUGCUCUGAAGAUGAACCCAGAGACUCAAGCUGCGGCUGGUGAGACGUUUGUCAGUUGGGAACAAGGCUAGGUAUUGAAAUGAAACAAAAUAAAGUUUCCUGUGACCUGUUCUCUCACUGUGAUGAUUUAGCACUCAAUAAAUUGUCUGCUGUAACCAGCUAUGAAAAGGUAAUGUCACUCUUAAGUGACCACUGGUUUUUUGUGUGAUUAUUAUCACUGAGAAUCUUACCUAAGGCAGCUGUUCAAUUAUUAAAUCACAAUCAAUGGCAUAAGAGGUUUUUAAAUCAUUUACUUAAACAUGCUGUUGACAAGUGGUGUUUUAAGAAAGUUUAGCAGAAGUACUAAUGACUUCUAAAUUAUUGUAAGUCCUAAUGCCCGGUACUUUAAACUUCAAGGGCUCAACUAUCAAUAUUUUUUUUCUAAUGUAUGUUUUGCUGUUGCUUUUCUUUGUUAUCAUAUAAUAAAGUAUUUAUUACUUAUUUACUAACAACAUACAAAAACCCUGGUCAAAAGCAGCAAUAAGGAAGCGGAGCAACACUUUCCCCUUUGCAUCACAAUGUGGUCGCACUCAGCGACACCACAACAGCCUGUGUUCAUUUAGAACAAAUUCUUGAAAGUUGUGGUUAACUUAAAUACAUUUUUUGUCAGUGCAAUGACAUCAUAUUUACAAGGACCCAAGGAUUUUGUCCUGGUUAAUCAUACAUUAAUUCUGAAAAAUGAUUACUAUUGAGCAAUCGACAGUCAAUACUAGGAAGUUAUGUGACUGUGAUAUAUACUGUGUGUACAAAAUAUAUGCCUAUGAUGUUCUUACACAAGAAUAUACACUUUACACAGCUUAAUAUUUAACUAAAAUAUUUUAUGUACAAAACCCUAAGGGAAGUAAAUACAGUUAUAUUUUUAAUAUAAGUAAAUUGAUUGCAACUAAGCAUUGGAAUUGCCAUGAAACUAAUUGUUGCAUGAACACCUUUUACUUGAUUUUAUGAGAGUAGAAAAUAUCUCUGAUUCAUGUGGAAAGCUGAGAUUACAGUUUUAAGUCCUGUCAUUAGACUAUUUGACUAUAUGUCUCUCUAGCUAUGUAUCAGACCUUUCAUGAAGUGUCCAAGAUCUAGAGGUCACACAAUGAGCAACUGUUUAGAUGUUAUAUCUAUUGUCCUUAUGAUAAAUGUUUUUAGACUAUGUAGGUACCUAUGCAAGAUGCACUCUAUUAUUCUUGAUACCAUAUGGAGCUAGGUAUAAUCAAAUUAAACUAGCUCCUUAGUACCUUAGAAAGCUGUCUAAUAUCUGGAUUUAUUUCUUUACCCAAUAAGAAACAAUGUCAAUAUAUCACCUAGUGUGACUUAUUUUGGUGGCUAAUUGAAAGUAAAGGGUUAUAAAUAUACUUUUUGAAGAUAUUUAUUUACUAUACAGUAAUAGUUUAUUGACCUGCUGGGGCAACCGUGUGGAAAUGAGUUAUCUGUGGGAUUAUGGAAGGAGCCUAUUAAUAGAAUACAUUACAUUAAUUUUAUUCAGCUUAAUGGUGGUCUUUAUAUUUAAAGACGUUUCUUUCCGAUUUACCAGACUGUGACAUACUUCUGAGAAAAUACAACACAGCUAUCUCAAUUAUAAACCGCUUUGGUGAACUGAAAUACUACUGUACAGUAUUUUUACCUCAAAACCAUCGAUGUUCGAUGCUCAAAACAAUGUUGAGGAACAAUUGGCAUUGGUGUGAAACGAGACAUUACAAUAUUAGUCUUAAAUAUUAUAGGUGAACUGUGUCAUAGCUGAUUGAGAGAUAACUAUAUAAGAUUUCGGAGAUAAAACGUAAAUUAAACAAUGAAUAUUUAGAAAUUUCCUGCAUCAUUUUGGAACUCAUAUACCGAGUUAUUGGAGUCGCGCAGAUGAAAUAUGUGAACGCUAUAUAUAUCCUGGUGUAGUAACCCAGAUAUUUUUUCUACAUAGAUGCUUGCACAUUUUCUUUGAUGAAUUAUUUUAUCUAUGCUUUUCUUCCAUUCGAAAUGAAAUUUAAGGUACCUAUUAAAGUUUUAGGUAAUGCAGAAGACAUGGCAACAACCAUAUUGUACACAGUUUUUACAAAUACUUACAUGUUACAUACAAUUGUAUAGAUUUGAGCGCCAGCUCACAUUUAUAAAAACUUAUUCCAUUAA